AUACGGAGGGUCCGAGCGUUAUCCGGAAUCAUUGGGUUUAAAGGGUCCGUGGGCGGGAAUCUAAGUCAGUGGUGAAAUCUUGCAGCUCAACUGUAAAAUUGCCAUUGAUACUGGAUUUCUUGAAUUAGUGUGAAGUGGUUAGAAUGUGUAGUGUAGCGGUGAAAUGCAUAGAUAUUACACAGAAUACCAAUUGCGAAGGCAGAUCACUAACACUAUAUUGACGCUAAGGGACGAAAGCGUGGGGAGCGAACAGGAUUAGAAACCCGGGUAGUCC
rnacentral:rRNA from 1 species